UUUUGUAAAUAGUUGCGCCACCAAAUGUCAUAUUUAAUGGCGAUAAAUAUUUGCCACUAAAUAUCACAUUUAAAUGUGGUUGCCACCAUAUCUCAUAAUUAGUGGCGAUAAAUAUCUGCCACAUAAAGUUGAACGUUAGUGACAAAAAUUAAUUGCCACCAAAUUUUGAGAGUGUUAAAUAUAAAAAUGCUUAAACACCGUUCUCUAACAGCUUAAGAUUUUAGAGUACAACGGUUGUUUCACAUGGUAUCAGAGCAGGAGGUCCUGAGUUCGAGUCACGCCAGGCUCCUAGCAUAUUAAUUUUCUCCCAUUUAAUUCAAGCCCACGUUAUGGGCCGAUUAAAAAGUCUCGAGCCCAGACGUGAGGGGGAGUGUUAAACACCGUUCUCUAACAGCUUAACCUUUCAAAGAGAGUAGGUGGGGAUAAAUAGUUGCAGCCAUCUAUUUUACUUUGUUAGCUAAACAUUGUUGCCCCGAAUUGUUACAAUUGGGUGGCAUAUGGCGACAAUUUUUAUCGCCAUAAUAGAUAUUUGGUGGCGACAUUUUUUAUAUUCGAUAAUGGUUUUGGACCCACAAGAUUGAGUUGGACUCAUAAAUAUUCUAAACUAAUGAAGGAAGAAAGAAGAAACUCUAAACUUAUGAAACUAUUAUAUACCAAGAAUGAAACAAUUUUUAUCGCCAUAAUUGGUAUUUGGUGGCGACAUUUUUUAUAUUCGAUAAUGGUUUGGGACCCACUAGAUUGAGUUGGACCCAUAAAUAUUCUAAACUAAUGAAGGAAGAAAGAAGAAAAUCUAAACUUAUGAAACUAUAAUAUACCAAGAAUGAAACAAUUUUUAUCACUAUUAUAGGUAUUUGGUGACGACAUUUUUUAUAUUCGAUAAUGGUUUUGGACCCACUAGAUUGAGUUGGACCCAUAAAUAUUCUAAACUAAUGAAGGAAGAAACAAGAAACUCUAAACUUAUGAAACUAUUAUAUACCAAGAAUGAAAAAACACUAAACAAAAAAAAAUAGUAGGAGCAACAACAGUAGCAAACUCAAAAAAGGAAAAAAGACAGCAAAAACAAUAACAAUAACAACAGAAGAAGAAGAAAGAAAAAAAGACAAAACAAAAACAAUAACAAUAACAACAGAAGAAUGAAUGAAUGAAU
rnacentral:lncRNA from 1 species